rnacentral:rRNA from 1 species
AUGUACGUGUUACUGAGGUGAAAGCUGAGGGACCACAUCUUCGGAUGUGGAGCGUACACAGGUGCUGCAUGGCUGUCGUCAGCUCGUGUCGUGAGAUGUGGGUUAAGUCCCGCAACGAGCGCAACCCUGCAUUCAGUUGCCAUCGGUGAGGCCGGGCACUCUGGAUGGACUGCCGGCGACAAGCCGGAGGAAGGUGGGGACGACGUCAAGUCAUCAUGGCCCUUAUGUCCAGGGCGACACACGUGCUACAAUGGCCGGCACAGCGGGAAGCGAAGGGGCGACUCUGAGCGGAUCCCUUAAAGCCGGUCCCAGUUCGGAUUGCAGUCUGCAACUCGACUGCAUGAAGUUGGAAUCGCUAGUAAUCGUGGAUCAGCCAAGCCGCGGUGAAUACGUUCCCGGGCCUU